rnacentral:rRNA from 1 species
GACAGAGGAGCCAAGCGUUGUCCGGAUUGACUGGGCGUAAAGCGCACGCAGGCGGCUGUGCACGUGGGGGGUGAAAGCUGGCGGCUUAACUGCCAGACGCCACCUCAUACGGCACGGCUCGAGCCCGUGAGAGGUCCACGGAAUUGCCGGUGUAGUGGUGAAAUGCGUAGAGAUCGGCAGGAACACCCAGGGGGAAACCAGUGGACUGGCACGGUGCUGACGCUCAGGUGCGAAAGCGUGGGGAGCGAACCGG